rnacentral:ncRNA from 1 species
CAUCGUCGCUCCAGCGUCGCCCAUGUAUGGGCAUUGCUGCCGACGAAAGGACGGAGCCUCGGCAAAAGCUGUCUAUAUAUAGGCAGGAAAGCGGAAACAUGACAAGGGUGCAGUCUAUCAUAGGAGAGUAGAUGCAGCAAUGCAGGUGAAAGCCUUAACGACUGC